UCUAAAACAAAAACAUGCUUAUUAAUUGGUCAAAAAUUAGUAAAACAAGCGAGAAAAUAUAGCAAAUGGGUAGACUAGACAUUAAUUGAAAGCGUCCUGGCAUUUAAAGUAUGGAAUGAAAUAUAAUUCAUGUAAAAAAUUGUUGAUUUUAACGGACACGACUUCGAAAAAUUUUGCAAAAUUAUUCAAAACAAAAAUUCAA